AGCGGUUCUCGGGUGAUGCACCCCAGAACCAGAGAGUAGGGAGCCUGAUUCUGGGGUGCAUCACUCAAGAACCACC
rfam:Myotis davidii contig135288, whole genome shotgun sequence.